UGCCCGACAACGUCAAUCUCUUAGCCACAAUAUUGUUUUGAAAAUUCAAUGAAAAAUCCUCUUAAAUCCGUCCAAAAUUCUUUGGUUGUUAUAAAAUUAAUUUAUACGCUCAACGAUUGUUUAAUUUUCGAUAAAUCUACGCGAUCUCAAAGAUUCUGCGUAUAGCUGACAAGUCGUUAAUCAAAUCAGUAUAAUUUAUUGAACUUUGCAAAAUGUUGGCGAUUCUUUCUCUCUGCCUAAAACACGUUUUCUUAUGUUCCAUAGAAUAAUGUGAAACCAUUUUUUAUUUACUAUCAAUGAUCUGCUGAUUACAAAUUUGUUUCAAUUCCUCAACUGACUAUCCAUCUCCCAUCGUGAAAUCUGACUUCCGGAUAACCCGUUAGCGAAUAUUUGCAGAAGUUUUGCUCAGCGGUGAUACGGCGAGUGUGCAGGCAGUGCCCGUCGCAAGUAUCCUCAAAACUAAAAUGUUCCCUCUGCGAAAUAUCGUCCAAGUGGCACCUCGAGUCUGUCGUAUAGCCGGACAGCAAAGAGGUCUCGUAAGUGGACCACCUCGAGUCAGAAUUUCUUUUCCAGAAAAGGUCGCACAUGGUAUUAUCAUCGCAGCCGGUGCAUCAGCAAUCCCGAUAUGGGUUGUGACCCAUAUUUCGGAAUACAAAGGAGCCGCAGAACCAGAAGAAUAAUUCUAUGUGUACAGUCCAUUCUGGUCUUAGCCACUGAUCAGUCAGUUUACUCAAUAAAUUAUUGAUGUCACGUACAACAUAUACCUAUUCUGCAAAAUCUCUGUGUCGUAAAACAUAAAAGAAAGCAAAUAAAACAAAUGUUGUAUUAA